ensembl:lncRNA novel transcript
GGACCUUGGUAUGCUGAGCACCGGUCCCCUGGGCCCACUGUUGUUUUCUCACGUUUUCUCACCUUUCCAAACGUGUCCAUGCCUAGAAGCUGGAGACCCCAUCCACACUGCAGUACCAGGGAUUCUUCCUGGGCAGUGUAUAGCAGGUAACCAUUUGUGUCCUGGAUGUCUGUCCACCCAAGAGGCCAUGACUUUGCAAAGGCAAGGCAAGGGCAGUGCUGGAUCUCCGGCUCUGCUUCCUCCUCAUCAUCCAAGGAGAGGUCCUGCCUGCCCUGGCUCCCUGGACAUGGGCUUCCAAUGGGCUAUCACAGCUAUUUCCAGGGUAGCAAAAUUCCUGGACUAGAUGUGGGGUGACUGCUGCUGAACAGAGGUGGGCCCCAGGGUGAAGGACCUUGCUCAGCCUCCCCUCAGUUUGGUCUACCAGGCCCUUGUCAAGCACUCUGCUGGAGUCUGGGGGUACUGAUCUUUGGAAAUGUCAGUCCUGGAGGCUGAGCUGUUCCCCAGAGCCCUAGAGACCCCUCACCAACUACUUUAUUGAGGGACAAGGCAGUAGGCAGGAGUGCUGGGAAAUCUGGUUUGCUUGGUAUGCCUUCUUGCACACCCACCUCUCCCUGCACCUGGUUCUAUUUGUAUCUGAGCUUCUCGAACUGCAAUAAUGAUGCAGCCUAGCUGGCUUCUGGAAGCUG